rnacentral:lncRNA from 1 species
CUUUGCUGCAGGAGCCAGGCCUGGUGAGUGAGGGUCUUGGGGGCUGAGCAGUGGUGGCUGUGCAAGCUGCAGGGUGUGCUGUUGCCUUUAGGUCACUUUGGGGCUGUGGAUGAACUACAGAGAGAAAUUGGAUGAGAAGCUGGAAGCCAGAGCUGAUACAGCUAAUACUGAACUGGUCCACCUCUAAUGAUUAAUGUGUUACAAACAAGUAAAAGACUCAACCUUUGGAGAAUCCUUACCCACUUCCCUUCCUGAAAGCAGUAUUGGUGCCAUCCUUUGGCAAACCUUGGAAUAUGAAAAACUGCAAGAGUUGCAGCAGUUUUGAGUGGAAUCGAAUUAAACAAAAGACGACUUUGGACAAGUGAGAGAACUGAUUCUUCAUCCAAAUAAUGGCAUCUGGACUCGGAUGAAAAAGGCUCCAGAUUUUUCAUCAUAAGAAGGAAAGUUUAAGAUUUUAUUUUUAGUACUUGUUUUAGCAGUAUUUGAUAUUUCACUCUAUCUUUUGUCAUAUGCAUGAUAACUAUACAGAAUAUACAGAGAAUAUGUUAGAAUAAUUAGUAUUUUUUUCUACUACAGUAUUCAAAGCCAUAUUUAUGAUAUGAUUAUAGCAUCCUCAUUGAGAUGGCAGGAUGUUCAA